CAAGUCAUACAUCAACAUGGGAACCUGAGAUUGGGCCAUAAAACCAACGAAAAAGAGGCAGUAGCAGAAAUGGUGUGUAGAGUGUUCAUAGACCUUCUCGAAUUCGUGGAAGAAUUUUACACAAUACAGCCCCGUUACCAAACAUCAGGUAACACCUAUGUUAUUAUCAAACCCAUCAAUUGAAGGACAACCAAAAACUAGGGAAAUAGAUAGUGCGGAACCGGAAAAGGUAGAGAGAACCACCACUGCACCCCAUCCGACAAUCAAUGCUACUAUCGACCCUGAAAUCCGUCAGAAGCACAAAGACAAAAUGCAACAAUUUCAAAAAUAUAUGGUCCUAGGAGUACUGAGAGAACGCAGCCCGGGCAUCCGUAGACUUACAAUAUGGGCUAAAACUAAACUGCAUCACUCCUUCAAGUGUCUCAUUAUCCGAGAUAACAACUACAUAGAGCUACAAUUCACAUAGGAGGAAGGCAUAAGACAAACCCUUAGUACCUAUUCCUACAGAGUAGAUAAUAGGGAACUAUGCUGCUACCCAUGGUCCCCAUAUUACAAAAAAGACGAACUAGCAUCACAUAAGCAACUUAAGACAGCGCUUUGAGCACAAGUGAAUAGUCUCCCCCACUCUCUCCGAACCAAAAUAUUCUUCACUCGAUAUUGCACCAAACAUUUAAGAUACUUCUGAUCGACGAUAGAGAAACAUAUAGAGCGAAACUAUCCGGACCAAGAGUAAGGAUCUUGACUGACAACACAGAGGACCUCCCUAGGUCAAUCUGGAUCAUGAGAAUGGACACGGAUACAGAAAAUGAGUAUAUGAUUGAAUACAAAGGAUUUAAUGAACAGUGCAACCGGUACCACUCCUAUGAACACAAUGUAGGCAAAUGCACUUUAGUCAGACAACUAGCGAGCGAAAGGAUUGCAGAACGGAAAAAGCAAAGGCAAAGAAAAUCUAUUCGCCACACAAACUCGUCAACAGAUCCCAAGGAACCUACAAAACAACAGAAGCAUAACAGAGUCAGUUCUAAGAAACAAAACUUCAUCUGGCAGCCUAAAGCUAAACUAGAAGCCAGAGAAGAAAGCAAUCCAGUAGCAGCCGGGCACAUUGGUUACUCAACGACCCAAAUACACUAAUUUCUGGGAAGCCCUAGGCUAGAAUUCCCCGACUGAAACAGAGUGCUCAGCUGCUAUCGUCUCCAUAUUCCUAAGGACAAGGACCGAUAAACUAUAUGAGACUCCAAUCAUCCACCAAGCUACAAAAAGAGGCCACCCACCCAUCUCGUUCUACCUCACACAACAACAAAAUCUUACAAGAUGGACGACAGAACAAGCACGCCUCCAUCUGACAAAUAAAAUAAUGCGCCACCUACGGUAGAAAACCAUACUAAAAAUUCAACACAUCAAUUCCAUUCGAAGCUGGACAGACGCAACAUGGAAGUACAAGUGGACAAGCCCUUCAGACAAUACAACAUUAGGUAUCAUCACCCCGCUUAUCACAUAUGAUGAAAAUGUAUGCACACUUAAGGCAGCCCAUUGCUACAAGUGGCAACUUUUCCGGACACAGAUCCAACAUCUUAUCUCCCAAGACACCCAUAUAGAAGCACAACAAUAGGAAAUAGGAAAACAAGGACUGCAUUUCUUUUUUGGAUGUAAUCCACCAAAGGUACCGACAUCGGAACCCAUAACACAGAUCAGACUAGAAUCCAACAUACAAUAAGAGAGAGGGUUCCCCAGAAGGGAAGCGGAGGGGGAGUCAUGUACUCCAUCAAUAGGAUACUAGGGCAAUGAAUGAACCCAUUUGCAUUGCAACUCUGAAUGUCCAAAGCCUGGGAUGAGACUUCGCAGGUAUCAAAAAAAGAAGAAAAAUUAGAGAGUUCUUUUUGAAAUCAAAACCAAGGCCAGACAUCCUCUUACUCCAAGAGCACAAGCUCUCGCUUGAGGAAUGCAAAUCCAAGACACAUCAAAUCGACUUAAUGAAUAACACAACAUUAUGGAGUGAGGCAUCUUACUCAGCCAACCAAGCCUCAUACCAAGGAAGCAUUGGCAUGCUACUAUCUAAUAGAAUCACCCUCAUUGGCAUGUGAAUAUGGCAUAAUAACUCCUGGAAGAGCACAAUACGCUACAUUCAAGUGGACCCAAGAUCUCAAAAUAUGAGUGAUCAACAUAUACGAAUAUAACAAAACAGGAUCCCGAGCUAGUCUAUGGAACCAAAUGCGGAGAUUUCAGCUACCCCCAGCACAUUGCAUUCUAGCAAAAGACUUCAAUGCCAUUGAAUACCUUGAGGACAAACAAGGUGGAACCCCAACCACAGGAAGAGGACAACAAGAAAUAAUGGCCUGGACCAACCUACUCCUACACCAAGUGGUUACAGAUUGCUUCUCCUUGAAUAACUUUUGAAAGAUAAAUAAGACGUAUUCAUGAGACAAUGGCAAAAUUCCUCCCUGGAACAUUUGUACUUGGAUUGAUAGGAUUUACCUACCACCAAAACUGAACAAGCUAGGAGGAAUUAUUAGAAUAUGGAGCUCCAUGCCCCACAUAUCAGAUCACACCCCGGUAUUCACGAAAAUCGUACCCAACCUUCCAUGGAUCCCAAAAACCAGCCGAUUCAAUACUCUGCUCCUAAAGGAGAAGGAAAGCACACAACUGC
rnacentral:lncRNA from 1 species